ACUCCGUGCCAGCAGCCGCGGUAAGACGGGGGAUGCAAGCGUUAUCCGGAUUUAUUGGGCGUAAAGCGUCUGUAGGUGGUUUGGUGUGUCUGCUGUCCAAACGCAGGGCUUAACUCUGUGGGGCAUGUGGAGACUAUCAGACUGGAGGCCGGUAGAGGUGGGGGGAAUCCCUCGAGGAGCAGUGAAAUGCUUAGAUACGUGGGAGAAGGCCGGAGGCGAAAGCUCCCCACUGGGCCGCGCCUGACACUGAGAGACGAAAGCUAGGGGAGCGAAUGGGAUUAGAGACCCCAGUAGUCCUAGCCGUAAACGAUGGGCACUCGAUGCUGCGCGUGGGACGCGCAGUAUCCCAGCUAACGCGAUAAGUGCCCCGCCUGAGGAGUACGCUUGCAAGGGUGAAACUCAAAGGAAUUGACGGGGGCCCGCACAAGC
rnacentral:rRNA from 1 species